GCUCAAGCUACACGGAGAACAUAUUUGACUCACUGCUCUCUCGACGAGAAUCAUUUUUCUCGCGUCUUCAAAUUUGGUAGUUUUUUCGAUAGAAACGUUCGAUUCAGAAGUGCCGUUUUCCACCUGCGGACACAUGGCCAAUUUUAGCCAAGGCCGGUUUUCUCGCAACUCACGUGGCAGGAGGAUGGAGCACCCUUGGAGGCUUUACCACAGGCAAAUUAAUUUAUGGCUUUAUACGACUGCUAGCUAUCACUACCGAGAGGAUAACAGCUCGUUUUGAGUAUUAUUGAUUUUAACUCUGUUCAAAUUACAUAGUUAAAUAAAUUGAUAUGUAUCUUUUUGUUUCAUUCAAUUUCCAUUUUCUUUUUAUGAUUCUCCUGGAAAUUUUGAAAGUAAACAAAGGAUACUGCCGUAUAGAAAUAAAAGAGUAAUAUGCAUUACAAUGGA
rnacentral:lncRNA from 1 species